CUCCCACCAACCUCUCGGUUCCUCCUCCCGGUGAUGUUUGGAAAGCGAAACUCAUCUUUGGCUCAGACAUGCACGAGCGGCACGGGAGCGCGCACAGCCUGUUGUAGCAGAAAGUGAUGCUCUGAGAGAAGAUUUCCACUUUGACAUGAACGAGUUUACAGCCAUGGAUGGAUUUCAUGUUCAGAUUUGCGAUUAAGUUACAAAAACACUCGAGGCACAAGAAGAGACAGGUGUGCACCACCUGCAGGACGGCUGCCAGGCGGCGGUCCAGAGCAGACAGGUGAGCUUCUGACAGGAGAGGAGCUGCGUCUGCCAGAGGAUCCUGAGCCAACGAUUCCCGCAUGACGUCGCUCAGACGGAAGUCAGGGAGGGCCAGGAGACGCAGCCGGAGGAGGGUGGAGCGCCGGAUCCUGUACAAGUAGGACAGGAGGGAAGGCAACAGGUUUAAUAAAAAUAUUAACAGGAAGACGUGUGACACCCACAUUUCUCCCUGGAUUCUUUAGCUGUACAAUGUCUAUAAAAAGUAUUCACUCCCCGUGGAUGUUUCACCGUUUUGUUGCUUUUAUACAUUAAAUCAUGGUCAAUAUAAUUUGGCUUUUUUGACAAGAAUUUGCAAAAACAAAACCCUUUUAACCCUUGUGUCGUCCUGUGGGUCAAAUUGACCCGUUUUAAAGUUUGAAAUGUGGAAAAAAUAUUUGUUCACAGUGAAACUUCUGAUGUCCACAUUUUCUACAUUUUUGGGAAAUCUUUGAACAUUUUUUGGUGGAAAAAAAGAAAUGUUAAAAAUGUUUCUGAAGAACAUUUAUAAUCCAGUGAAUUUUGCUGGAUUUUGGUUGAUUUUUUUUCUGAAUGUUCUUAAAGAAAAUAUUAGAAGUUUUACUGAUAUAUAUGGAAUCACUUUAGAUAUUUUUAGGAUUUUUUUGGAAGAUUUUUACUCAUUUUUUGAAAAUAUUUACAAGAAUUUGGGGAUUUUUUUUAAAUAAAACUUUUAAGGGAAACUUUAAAGGAAUUAUUGGAAUUUUCGUCAUGAAGGUUUUGCAAAUUUUCAGAAAUUUGGGGAAUUUUUUUGCUGAAUUUUUGGAUUUUUUUCAGAUAAGGAAACAAUAUUUUUUGGUGCCUGUAAAUGAGGACAACAGGAGGGUUAAAUAUCAAAGUGGGACAGAAACAGAUUUUUAACAAAAGAAGUAAUAAGAAGAAACAUGGCAUCAGUGUUUAUUAAAGCGUCUAAAUAUCUGAAUCUUCUCUAGAUGAAUCAUUUCUACUCCGCCUUGCAGCUAGAUUCACUCUGGAAUGACUCUAAUGGAGGAAGUCAGUCUGAGUUUUCCUCGUUUUACCUGCAACACUGCUGCAAAGGAGCAAGAAUAGACGGCUCAUCCUGAGAGUGACGCCCAAACCUGGAAUAUAUCAUCAGCAAUAUUUUAGUUUACAACAAAACACCAACAAUAAGAUGUUCUCUAAAUGAUUGACAGUAAGAACAGAGGUAUGAAAUGAAGGAUGUUUGGUACUCACGCCCGCCCGUUAUCCAGGUGCAGCAGAAAUGUCUCAUUACCAAAUUUCUCAAAUGUCUCAUAGUGAUGUCUGUCCAUGUUGCCUUUGAAUAAUAAUAAAAAAUAUUAAACUAGAACAGGAAAUCAUGUGGAUUUUAGCUAAUUCUACUGAUAGCAUCCAGAGUGGAUCUAAGUGGGAGAUAAUUCUCUUUUUGUAAAUUGUUGAAAUCUUGUUGUUAGUGUCUGCAAUGACAAUAAAGUUUCAGUCUUAAUCCAGUCAGAUGAAACACCAACGACUGAACAUCCUCACCAUGAAGCAUGGUGGUGGCAGCAUCAUGCUGUGGGAAUGCUAGUUGGAAGCAGUUACUGAACAUUAAACCAGUUACUGAACACUAAACCAGUUACUGAUCAUUAAACCAGUUACUGAACACUAAACCAGUUACUGACUCAUGAGGAAGUCCAGGACAGCCAUGUCUAUGAGGUCCACCAGUCGGGUUCCUUGGCUGUAAGGAGGCGUCUGCUUCACGGAGUCGCAGUAGUUCGGGUUCUUUUCCCACCUGGAACAACACAACAGAGACUCACAGUCAAACACAAUAGCAGGAAAUAGAUCUGAACCUCACUGGUAACACUGGUUUUACUGUUGAUGCAACGAUGGCACCAGUUUUAUUCAUCAGUUUGUGUUUUACACCCUAGCAGUAGUCUUUUAAUGUGCUCCAUGGUGGGUAGUGCAGCUCUUAGUCAUAGAUUUUUGAGUUUUUUGUGCUUUUGUUGUCACUUGACUGUAAUUUGGGUUGAUGGAGGAGUUUGACUUCAAAGUUUAUAAUUAAAUAGAGUGCAGAUUCUG